AGAUGAGAGGUAAAUAUAGCCAAGACGUUUCACCUUAGUGUUCAUCAGGGCUGAUAUGGCUGAUCUGAAUGAUCAUGGGGAUGUCCCCUUCCUUCCUUGCUACCUAUUCUAUCUCCUCUGUCAAAUGGGAUGACCCCAGACAGACAAGAGCACUAUAGUGAAGGGUGUAUCAGUAGCUUUUCUCUCCUGCUAAAUCAUCCAAACAGGCUCUCAAGACCCGACACAUAGUAGAUUCUCAAUGAAUAUCUGUUAAAUAUUUGAGUGAACCAAUGAUCAGCACCAUUAUUCUCUUAAAUUGUGCUGUAUUAU
rnacentral:snRNA from 1 species